UGGGUAGCACUUUGGGGGAAUGGCGUGAUUUUGGGACCUUACUUUUUUUACCAAAAUGUGGACGGCCUUGCAUAUCUUCAAAUGCUGAAUGAAUUUGCUUUCCCACAACUUGCCAUUCAUUUCAACAACCAGUAUUGGGAAGGAAUGUUUAGGGGUCUUUGUUGGGCACAGGCGCCGCUCCAGCACAUCGCCUUAUUGAAGUGAGGGAUCGCCUUAAUUAACGAAGUGUUCGGAGAGAAUCGUGUGAUAGCUUGCCACCAUGACGUGGAAUGGCCACCUCGAUCGCUGGACUUAACCCCAUGUGAU